rnacentral:tRNA from 1 species
GGAGGGUAGCUUAGUGGUAGAGCCCCUGCCCAGCUUGCCUGAGGUCCUGGGUUCAAUUCCCAGCACCACCA